GGGGAAUUUUACAAAGAACAAGGAAGCGGGCAUCUGCUGACAUGGGGGCCGAAGUCAGGCGCCAGGCAGCGGGCACUCUGCAUCUU
ensembl:miRNA Gm25990 predicted gene, 25990